CCGCCCUACUCAGAUCCACGUCUCCCUCAGCAAACUGGGGGCCUCCAAAGGGGCUGUUGUCUAAGACACUGCCUGAAAAUCGGCUCCUGUUGCUCAUGCUAGACGGAGCCUCCAAGUUACAAAGAGAUGAGGAAGGUUUUCCAUGAAGGGAAGUCCCCAGUAUAAUCCAUAAUGAAGACCAAAAUUUGCCUCCACGGGGGCGCAGUAUUGCCCUCCUUUAGCAUGUGUGGUGUGAAAGAAUGUCUGAUAUGUGCUUGCUUUCUCACAGUUCUUGUGCCACAAAAUUUCAGAUCAUCUAUAGAUGGUUGAUUACUCCAUAUAAAAAAUGUUUUGCAUAAGGCUCUCUGAUGAUCCAAACUGAAACGAAGUUGCACUAGUGUCAUUCCCAAUAGCCAAGAAACGCAACAACCUGUGUCCAUCAAUGGAUGAAUGGAUAAAGAAGAUGUAGAGAAGAUAUAUACAAUGGAAUAUUAUUGAGCCAUGAGGAAAAAGGAAAUUCUGCUGUUUGCAAGAACUCAGAUGAACCCUGAGGGCAUUAUGCUAAGUGAGUAGCCGGUCAAGCACUUUCAGGAGAAUGAGCGAAAGGCACUGCUUCCUGGAACUGCAGAACCUGGGCCCCAUCGCCCCACAAGCACAUCACAGGCAGCGCCUCAGACCCCACGUACACUCUCCAUCAGACAUCCUUCUGCAGAGCGCGCCCCGAGCACCGUGCGCAGUGAAUCCAUUUGGAACCAGUGACAAGCUGAUCUGUCAGGAAGCGUUAGAGUUCACAUAGAUGCAGGUGAGAACUGAAGUGGCAUCAGGCCUUCAAGGGUGGGUCUUCGGUUCCAGCAUUUGCUUAGCCUUGUUGAUGGUAGGAAUCAAAGAGAACCGAAGUAAGGAAAAGAGCUCAAAUUCUCCUCCGGCACUUGUGUGCAUACAACCGAAUGAGAAAGUGAAUCUGAAUAAGGACAUCUGAUGAGAGCGCUUGAGAAGCUAGAUACAGUCCCCUUGUUUCAUCUGAGCUGCCAUAUUCCCUCUUGCGGCCCUACCCCUCCCACCGCCAUCACUCAACGAAGAGGUGCAGGAGGGAACAACAGCCAGGGGUCCUCUAACUUCCAACCAGGUAGAGAAGACUGCAUCCUAAAUGACUUGUCCCCCUCCUCCCCCAUUCUGACGGAGUGGAUCCAGAAGGACGCGCAGGGAUGUUUACCCCAGGCAGUUCUAUACUUCCAGGUCUACCAGCUGACCCGGCUGCAUGUGCACUAACCUUCUGUGUUGUGUGUAAUUUCGGUUUUGUCACCCUGAAGCUCCCCUACAUUCUCAGGCUCUCCCUUUACCUUAUUUUAUAAAACCCUGGGGCCGCAGGAUGGAUAUCCUUUCCCUUCACACUCUUCAAGGUUAUUUAUUAUAACCUUGCACCUCCUUACACCUCAGAGCCUGGAAUGAGUUAAACAUUCUUUAUUUUCUGAACUCAUUGUGACUUUAUUCUUUCUCACACUGCCCCUGCAAGCCCAUUCUCUCCACUUGUUCUUACCUGCGUCUUGGCAAAAUACAGGAUCUAUAGAAUUUUUGUGGUGAUCCCCAGGUAACAGAUAUAGAGUCCUCCAGUCAAUUUUCAGUGAUGUAAUGCCCAGUAUGGUUUAGCGAUCGCAUAAGUGUAAGACUUCUCUGCUAGUUUGUGACUGCUUCAGGCUCCCAAAUCUGUAGGUUAAAAAGGGACUGUGUUUGGCUUCUUCAUUAUUCUUGAAGCAUCUUUGCCUCCACAUGCCAGCUGCUGUUUGGGUCUUCUACUGAAUUCUAGUAGAGGGAGGGAGAAGUAGUAAGGGGAAGUACUUGGCUGGUACAUUUAUAAUCUACAGUGUUACAUUCUGGAUCUAGCAGAUGGCCAAAACUCAUCCUUUCUACUUUGGGUGGGUUCUCAGGAGAUGUUCCUAAUCCCUCACACCUCUCACUUCCGGCCUCUUUGCCCUAAGGAAUUGUGUCUGACCCUCCAUGAACAAUUCUGGCUUACUCCUUGUUUCUUAGGUGUUCACAUUCUCUGGGUCAUUUGAGAUUCCCAAGUGGGCCUCUGGAAUAAAGCUCUCUUAAGAUGAUUCAUUCUGGUUCUCUUGAUAAGGGCCACGCCUGGCCACAGGGGAAUAUCCACGCAUUCUUGCACCAUCAAGUCUUAAAGGAGGGUGACUAGUAAGUCCCACAUCCUAGUAAAUCCUCGGUCCUGGGAAAACAAAAACUGUUCAUUACUGUGCCUAGAGAUCCAGGAAAACCCUCCUCUUUCUGAUGCCAUUUAUGGGCAGCCACGAGCACAGUCUCUCACCUUAAAAUCAAAUAGGUGGAAGCCAGAUGGAUACCUGUGUCCAUAACACUCAAAGCCUAUGAACUAAUGCUAAACUCCCACCAGGCAGUUCUUCUGAAGAUAUCUCAUUUUGACUUAAUGAGGAAGAAGCAUCCACUUCCUCUUCUCACUAGGGAGAGAAAAACACAGCACAUGGGAAGACGGUCUCCAAACCAAUGGGUGAUGGGCUAAUGCUUGCACCACCUGUUUCUCAAUCUCUUAAAUGCCCUGUGUACAUAUGGCGUUACUUGGAAUCAGUUGUGCUACUGCUGACUUUUGAAAUCUUUGCCAAACCCUGGGACAGUAAGAAUCAUAUUUCUAAGACGGAAUUCUCUGCGAUCCCAUUGUUACUUUCAAAAAAUGUCUGUU